CUGGUAACCAAGCAACUGAACAUCAGCCAGUCAGAACAGCCCAUCCCUCAGCCAUUCCCAACCCAUAGACUCCAAAAUCAUGUCCAAAUAAGAUUGUUGAAACAGUGGACUCCAAAGAAAUGGAAAUUUCCUCAGGAAUCUCAUGCUAAGAGGAGAAAAGGGCACCAGCUUGUCUAUCUGAAAGAGAAUCCACCUGGUUCUAAAAGUUUGGCCGAACACCUUAUAGGAUGAGGAUGAAGCCUGGACAAUGAUGGGCAGUGGUGGGCAGGACCACACCUUCACCAGGACAGCUCAGUUGUGCACAUUCCCUGGCCCUUUAUUUAAACUUUGGUCCCAAAGACAGACUUGAGGGAUUUGCUGGACUCUUUGUCCCUCUUCUCAAUGUGGCAACAUUGAAUAAAUCUUUUGUAAUUUGUAUUUGACUCUUUAAAUUGUUUUCUUGAGGAAGAGUGGCCAGACCUGACUUUGGGUGCAGGUUGUGCCCCCCAAGUUUGAUAAUAUUAGUAGAAAAAUGAUGUGGGCAUCUGUAACCACAUCAAGAAGCACUCACGGUUGAAAACAAGGCACCAGUUCCAUCACCAAAAUAUGAGCAGGCUCCUAAAAAGUGAUGGAUAAAAAUGAUUACAAGAUGAUAAAUAUGAUCUUGUCUAAAUACUUACAGUACAGACAGCUCCUAAAGAUUUCUUCCCCCGUGCCAUGGACCAAAAAAAAAAAAAAAAAAAAAUCAAAAGAACUUACUUUUCUGUGGAUAUUACUCAGUCUGUGCUAUUCAACAUUCAGGGAAGUGUUUCACAAGAUAACUGAAUAAGGACAAAGAAAAUUAUGUUGACCAAGGGCAGGGACAGAAAACUUUGCUCGUAGAGAAAAGAAAAUGAAACCAUCUAUUUCAAGAAAAGGAAAUGACAAUCAGCCACUGCCGCUGGGUGGUCUAAUUUUCAGGACAUGCAUAUUCCAACCUAAUAACUAAGAACUAGAGACUUGCAUUUGUAAGGAAAAAGAAGAUGGGCAUGCUAGUCCAUGUGACACAUCACAGCCCCGCAGGAGUAUAUGUCUCCUUAUUCUUCAAAGGCCAUGAAAAUAACUAUUUUUCUGCCUCAUUCUUCAAAAGCCAUGAAUAUAACUAUUAUUCACAAUAGAAUUGCAAUCUAUCAACAAGUCACUUUUCCAUGGGGGUAAUCAAUGUAAAGCCAGCAAUCUACCUCGCAGCUCUUACCUCCAAAAUACAAUCUUGAGACUUCGGUAGCCAAUUAAUGUUUAAUUCAUGGUUUUUUCCUAAAGAAAAUCAAAAGAAAAAAAAGCACCCAGUUUCUAAGAUACAAGGCAUCACAACUAAGGAAAUGCAACCUGGAGAUUUUAGAAGUCGUCUUUGUCCAUGUGUGGUGCUGCAGUGUAUCCCUAGUGUGGUGCAGAACUUAGAAUCCCAAGCCUACAAUCGCCAUGCAACUAUCUCACUAUUGAACUUCUGAACAUUAACCAUUUGGAAAACAGAUAUACUGUAGUCUUCCACCCUCUGAUAAGUUGGGGCUGGGUGAUAUAGCUUAGAAAUCUUUAUGAAGAAAAUGGUUCUAGGCCAUAGAAAAGAGGCAGAAAAAUAAUGUAAAAACUGGAGAACAGGGAGAUGUACUCUGCAAAGGUCUCUUAUGAACAGAGCAUAAUAGUUGCAUUCAUGAACUCGCUGCAGCUGUGGGUCCUAGCACAAGCCUUGUGCAAGACUGGGCAGGUCAGCAUUUCAUCCUGGAAAGUUGGGGGGUGGGGGCUGACACCCUACUCCUCCCUGAGGAUCUACUGACAGAUGCUGAAGGAAGAGUGUCAGAAAAAUAUACUGAAUCAAAAGUAAAAAGUACCAUGAAA